GAGAGUGUAAACACGUCAAAAUUCAAAAACGCCACGACUCCUUCCUCUUUCAAAAAGCCCUAGCUGUGAACAACAACACCUUCUCGUAGCCGCACCUCCCUCUCGCCUACGAACGCCUUCACCGCGAGAAGAUCUCCGUCGCCCUGAGCUUUCUCAGCCCACAGCACCUGCCCUCUCGCCUGCGAGCGCUGCAUCGGGUCUCCCUCCCUUGCCGCGCCUUCCUCGCUGUCGCCUACGUCUCAACUGACGAGAGCCCUAGCUUUUGUCUCCCCGCGCCUGGGUUCCUCGCCGUCACGAAGUCUCACAGGUGCCCUUCCAUCCCUAAUCAGUUGCCGGUGGAAACGAGGAUGUAGAAGAGCAUUAUGAAAGUAUAUCGAGCAUGCCAAGUGUAGAAUGUCAACGGAUGAUCAAUCAACCUACAAAUUAUAGCUGUGUUGAAGGUUUGAGUAUGGCCGAAACUCAAUUUCCACCACUUUUGUCAACACAACUGUCUCAGGUUCACUCUGAUAAUGAUUAUUUUCAGACAAGUAAUAGGGAAGGAUGGUGCUUCAAUGGUGUGGACGUUACUACAAUGGAAUGCACAUCAACUAAAGAACACCACAAAGAGUGAUUGAUGUCAAUAUAGGCAUCGUCGGCAUCAAGUUACAAUGGAAUGCAAACAAAUAUUUUGUGCUAAAUAUUUUGUGGAACUUUUGUGGUUACCAUAUUUUUGUGAACAAAUAGCUUCUGUGUUGUAUUCUGAUCAUGUAAUGGUAAUCAAUCGAAUUGUGAACAAAUAGCUUAUGUGGUCAUGUAUAUUUUGAUCAUGUAAUUUUGAUCUCUCACUGAUAUUACUUGAUUAUCAUGUAUAUUUUA